rnacentral:rRNA from 1 species
UUGGAAAUGACAUGGUUUCGGCUAUCACUUACAGAUGGGCCCGCGGUGCAUUAUCUAGUUGGUGAGGUAACGGCUCACCAAGGCAACGAUGCAUAGCCGACCUGAGAGGGUGAUCGGCCACACUGGGACUGAGACACGGCCCAGACUCCUACGGGAGGCAGCAGUAGGGAAUCUUCCGCAAUGGACGAAAGUCUGACGGAGCAACGCCGCGUGAGUGAUGAAGGC